CGUGUAGGCGGCUUUGUACGUCCGUCGCUGAAAGCCCCCGGCUCAACCGGGGAAGUGGCGUGGAUACGGCAAGGCUCGAGGGACGUAGGGGGGGCUGGAACUUCCGGUGGAGCGGUGAAAUGCGUUGAGAUCGGAAGGAACGCCCGUGGCGAAAGCGAGCCCCUGGACGUCAACUGACGCUGAGACGCGAAAGCUAGGGGAGCGAACGGGAUUAGAUACCCCGGUAGUCCUAGCCGUAAACGAUGAGCACUGGGUAGGGGCUCGCCGAUGGGCUCCCUGCCGCAGGGAAACCGUGAAGUGCUCCGCCUGGGGAGUAUGGUCGCAAGGCUGAA
rnacentral:rRNA from 1 species